rnacentral:rRNA from 1 species
CCUACGGGUGGCAGCAGUAGUGAAUCUUCCACAAUGGGCGAAAGCCUGAUGGAGCAACGCCGCGUGGGUGAAGAAGGUCUUCGGAUCGUAAAACCCUGUUGUUAGAGAAGAAAGUGCGUGAGAGUAACUGUUCACGUUUCGACUGUAUCUAACCAGAAAGCCACGGCUAACUACGUGCCAGCAGCCGAGGUAAUGCGAAGGUUGCAAGCGUUAUCCGGAUUUAUUGGGCGUAAAGUGAACUCAGGCGGUCUUUUAAGUCUGAUGUGAAAGCCUUGGGCUUAACCGGAGUAGUGCAUUGGAAACUGGAGGACGUGAGUGCAGAAGAGGAGAGUGGAACUCAAUGUGUAGCUGUGAAAUGCGUAGAUAUAUGGAAGAACACCAGUGGCGAAGGCGGCUGUCUGGUCUGUAACUGACGCUGAGGUUCGAAAGCGUGGGUAGCAAACAGGAUUAGAUACCCCAGUAGUC